CGGUAGGGGCAAGCGUUGUCCGGAUUCAUUGGGCGUAAAGAGCGUGUAGGCGGCCAGGUAGGUCCGUUGUGAAAACUCGAGGCUCAACCUCGAGACGUCGAUGGAAACCAUCUGGCUAGAGUCCGGAAGAGGAGAGUGGAAUUCCUGGUGUAGCGGUGAAAUGCGCAGAUAUCAGGAAGAACACCUAUGGCGAAGGCAGCUCUCUGGGACGUACUGACGCUGAGACGCGAAAGCGUGGGAGCGAACAGGAUU
rnacentral:rRNA from 1 species